GAGAAGGGAGGUGGUUGAUCUUGGAAGCUAAGGGAAAUGAGGGAUUUGCUUGAAGCUAAGCACAUAUUGCUUGAGUGGAGAUUACCCAAGUAUGGUUACUAUGUCUUCAAUGUUUCCAUUAAAACCUUGUUCUUCUUCUCUGUUUGUCUUCUCUUCACUACCCUUUGUUGUUGCGCAUGGGUAGGCUUGAUAUGUAUAUAAAAGUUGUUUCUGGUAAUAGAGAUUUUCAUCACUGAAUGAACCCAUUUUAAAAGAAAUUUUCUGUCGGAUGAGGACUUUUUAUUUCCUUUUAGAGAGCACAUCCAUUCAUUUUUUGUGGGGCUCUCCUAUUAGAGGAGGGAGAAGGGAGGGAAAGAAAAAGAAAAGAAUCGGAGAAGGGAGGUUGUUGAUCUUGGAAGCUAAGGGAAAUGAGGGAUUUGCUUGAUGCUAAACACAUAUUGCUUGAGUGGAGAUUACCCAGGUAUGGUUACUAUGUCUUCAAUGUUUCCAUUAAAUCCUUGUUCUUCUCUGUUUAUCUUCUCUUCGCUGCCCUUUGUUGCGCAUGCAUUCAUUUUUUGUGGGGAUCUCCUAUUAGAGGAGGGAGAAGAGAGGGGAAGAAAAAGAAAAGAAUCGGAGAAGGGAGGUUGUUGAUCUUGGAAGCUAAGGGAAAUGAGGGAUUUGCUUGAAGCUAAGCACAUAUUGCUUGAGUGGAGAUUACCCAUGGUUACUAUGCUUUCAAUGUUUCCAUUAAAACCUUGUUCUUCUCUGUUUAUCUUCUCUUCAUUGCCCUUUGUUGGGCAUGCAUUGAUUUUUACUGGGGAUCUCCUAUUAGAGGAGGGAGAAGGGAGGGGAAGAAAAAGAAAAGAAUCAGAGAAGGGAGGUUGUUGAUCUUGGAAGCUAAGGGAAACGAGGGAUUUGCUUGAUGCUAAGCACAUAUUGCUUGAGUGGAGAUUACCCAGGUAUGGUUACUAUGUUUUCAAUGUUUCCAUUAAAAC
rnacentral:lncRNA from 1 species